GAUGAACGCUAGCGGCAGGCUUAAUACAUGCAAGUCGAGGGGCAACAGGGGUAGCAAUACCUGCUGGCGACCGGCAAACGGGUGCGGAACACGUACAGAACCUUCCUUUAAGUUGGAGAUAGCCCGGAGAAAUCCGGAUUAAUACCUAAUAGUAUUAUGGUGUGGCAUCACAUUAUAAUUAAAGCCUUGGCGCUUAGAGAUGGCUGUGCGUAUGAUUAGGUAGUUGGNGCGGGUAACGGCCCACCAAGCCUUCGAUCAUUAACUGGUGUGAGAGCACGACCAGUCACACGGGCACUGAGACACGGGCCCGACUCCUACGGGAGGCAGCAGUGGGGAAUUUUGGACAAUGGGCGCAAGCCUGAUCCAGCCAUGCCGCGUGAGUGAAGAAGGCCUCGGUUGUAAG
rnacentral:rRNA from 1 species